rnacentral:rRNA from 1 species
CCUACGGGAGGCAGCAGUGGGGAAUAUUGCACAAUGGGGGAAACCCUGAUGCAGCGACGCCGCGUGAGCGAAGAAGUAUUUCGGUAUGUAAAGCUCUAGCAGCAGGGAAGAAAAUGACGGUACCUGAGUAAGACGCUCCGGCUAAAUACGUGCCAGCAGCCGCGGUAAUACGUAUGGAGCACGCGUUAUCCGGAUUUACUGGGCUGAAAGCGCUCGUAGGCGGUAUGUCCAGUCAAGGGUGAAAUCCCCGCGCUGAACGUGGGAACUGCCUUUGAAACUGGCAAACUGGAGUGUGUGAGAGGAUAGUGGAAUUCCAGGUGUAGGAGUGAAAUCCGUAGAUAUCUGGAGGAACAUCAGUGGCGAAGGCGACUAUCUGGCACAUAACUGACGCUGAGGAGCGAAAGCGUGGGUAGCAAACAGGAUUAGAUACCCCUGUAGUC